GAUAUUGCACAAUGGGGGAAACCCUGAUGCAGCGACGCCGCGUGAGCGAAGAAGGCCUUCGGGUCGUAAAGCUCUGUUGCGAGGGAAGAAUAAAUGACGGUACCCAAUGAGGAAGCCCCGGCUAACUAAGUGCCAGCAGCCGCGGUAAUACGUAGGGGGCGAGCGUGGUCCGGAAUUACUGGGCGUAAAGGGUACGUAGGCGGCUAUAUAAGUCAGGUGUGAAAUACCAGUGCUUAACACUGGAAUUGCAUUUGAAACUGUGUAGCUUGAGUGCAGGAGAGGAAAGUGGAAUUCCUAGUGUAGCGGUGAAAUGCGUAGAGAUUAGGAGGAACACCAGUGGCGAAGGCGACUUUCUGGACUGUAACUGACGCUGAGGUACGAAAGCGUGGGUAGCGAAC
rnacentral:rRNA from 1 species